rnacentral:rRNA from 1 species
AGUGGCGGACGGGUGAGUAACGCGUGAGAAUCUGCCUUGGGGUCGGGGACAACCACUGGAAACGGUGGCUAAUACCGGAUAAGCCGAUUGGUGAAAGAUUUAUUGCCCGAAGAGGAGCUCGCGUCUGAUUAGCUAGUUGGUGAGGUAAGAGCUCACCAAGGCAGCGAUCAGUAGCUGGUCUGAGAGGACGAUCAGCCACACUGGGACUGAGACACGGCCCAGACUCCUACGGGAGGCAGCAGUGGGGAAUUUUCCGCAAUGGGCGAAAGCCUGACGGAGCAAGACCGCGUGAGGGAGGAAGGCUCUUGGGUUGUAAACCUCUUUUCUCAGGGAAGAAGCUCUGACGGUACCUGAGGAAUCAGCCUCGGCUAACUCCGUGCCAGCAGCCGCGGUAAUACGGAGGAGGCAAGCGUUAUCCGGAAUUAUUGGGCGUAAAGCGUCCGCAGGUGGCGAUUCAAGUCUGCUGUCAAAGUACGGGGCUUAACUCCGUAAAGGCAGUGGAAACUGAAUAGCUAGAGUGCCGUAGGGGUAGAGGGAAUUCCCGGUGUAGCGGUGAAAUGCGUAGAGAUCGGGAAGAACAUCGGUGGCGAAAGCGCUCUACUGGACGGCAACUGACACUCAGGGACGAAAGCUAGGGGAGCGAAUGGGAUUAGAUACCCC